AGCAGCCGCGGUAAUUCCAGCUCCAAUAGCGUAUAUUAAAGUUGUUGCAGUUAAAAAGCUCGUAGUUGAAUUUCGAGACCGGUCUACUGGUCGUGCUUUUGUACGUACUGGUUUUAUUGGUUUCUCCUUUCUGACGAACUAUAAUGCCAUUAAUUUGGUGUUAUAGGGAAUCAGGACUGUUACUUUGAAAAAUUAGAGUGUUUAAAGCAGGCUCACGCUUGAAUACAUUAGCAUGGAAUAACGGAAUAGGACGUUUGAUUUUAUUUUGUUGGUUUCUAGGAUCGACGUAAUGAUUAAUAGGGAUAGUUGGGGGCAUUAGUAUUCAAUUGUCAGAGGUGAAAUUCUUGGAUUUAUUGAAGACUAACUACUGCGAAAGCAUUUGCCAAGGAUGUUUUCAUUAAUCAAGAACGAAAGUUAGGGGAUCGAAGACGAUCAGAUACCGUCGUAGUCUUAACCAUAAACUAUGCCGACUAGGGAUCGGAUGAUGUUAAUUUUUAAUGAC
rnacentral:rRNA from 1 species